rnacentral:rRNA from 1 species
GAUGUUUGUCGAUCGGUGGAAGGCUGAUCCAGCCAUCCAGCCCGUGUGAAGAAAGUCUUCGGUUUGUGAAGCACUUUACUUUUGGAGGAAAAGCUUUGUGCUAAUACGCGGAUGUUUGGACGUUACGAACGGACUAAGCACCGCCUACCUCGUUCCCACCGGCCGCGGUAAUACGGAGGGUGCAAGCGUUAACCGGAAUUACUGGGUGUAAAGCGUGCGUAGGUGGUUUAGUAAGAUAGUGGUGAAAUCCCAGGGCUUAACCAGGGAACUGCCAUUAUAACUGUUGAGCUUGAGUAAGGUAGCAGUGAGUGGAAUGUCUUGUGUAGCGGUGAAAUGCGUAGAUAUAGCAAAGAACACCAGUUGCGAAGGCGAAUACCUGGACCUAUAUUGACACUGAGGGGCGAAAGCGUGGGGAGCAAACA